rnacentral:rRNA from 1 species
AGGGUGAACGCUGGCGGCGUGCUUAAGACAUGCAAGUCGAACGGAUGCUUUCGGGCAUCAGUGGCGCACGGGUGAGUAACGCGUAACUGACCUACCUCCAAGUUCAGCAUAACGUCUCGAAAGAGACGCUAAUUCUGAAUGUGAUCCCGGAUCGUGUUCCGUGAUUAAAGAAUUUCGCUUGGAGAUGGGGUUGCGUUCCAUCAGCUAGUUGGUAGGGUAAGCCUACCAAGGCGACGACGGA